CCAGGACAAUGCGAAUGAUUUAAAUUCUCUCUCUCAUUUUCAUUUACUCAUAACUUAAGAUGGCUGAUGCACAAAAAAGAAAAAGGGAAAAAACUCCAGAGAGCGAAAAUGGUAUCAAAGAGAAUUCUUUAACAAUUAUUAAAAAAAUGAUGGAACUGAGUGAAAAGACUCAGGAAAAUACUUCAAUGUUGGUGGAUGAGAUUCUUCACAGCAUCUUCUUUUUGGAAGUGAUCAAUGAUAGACAGUUUUCCCCAAAAAAUAUUGUGAG